UUUUGUUCUUUCGAAAAUCAUAAUUCAGAGAAACAUUUUUGGGAGAUUAGUGGGUUUUGGAAGAAGAAUUCGAAGUUUUU